rnacentral:rRNA from 1 species
GAUGAACGCUAGCGGCAGGCCUAAUACAUGCAAGUCUAAAGGGCAACAAUGUCCUUGGCGCACGGGUGCGUAACACGUAUGCAACCUGCCCACAACUGGGGGAUAACUUUCCGAAAGGGAGGAUAAUACCGCAUAAAACAGGGGCCCCGCAUGGGGAUAUUGUUAAAGCUUCGGCGGUUGUGGAUGGGCAUGCGGACGAUUAGCUAGUUGGCGGGGUAACGGCCCACCAAGGCGACGAUCGUUAGGGGAACUGAGAGGUUGGUCCCCCACACGGGCACUGAGAUACGGGCCAGACUCCUACGGGAGGCAGCAGUAGGGAAUAUUGGUCAAUGGGCGGAAGCCUGAACCAGCCAUGCCGCGUGCAGGAAGAAGGCCCUCUGGGUUGUAAACUGCUUUUGACAGGGAACAAGAAGUCCAUGCGUGGAUUAGUGAGUGUACCUGUAGAAUAAGCCACGGCUAACUACGUGCCAGCCGCCGCAGUAACAC